UACGUAGGGCGCAAGCGUUGUCCGGAAUUAUUGGGCGUAAAGAGCUCGUAGGCGGCUCGUCGCGUCGACCGUGAAAUCCCGCAGCUUAACUGCGGGCUUGCGGUUGAUACGGGCAGACUAGAGUGCGGUAGGGGAGACUGGAAUUCCUGGUGUAGCGGUGAAAUGCGCAGAUAUCAGGAGGAACACCGGUGGCGAAGGCGGGUCUCUGGGCCGUAACUGACGCUGAGGAGCGAAAGCAUGGGGAGCGAACAGG
rnacentral:rRNA from 1 species